rnacentral:rRNA from 1 species
GAUGAACGCUGGCGGCGUGCUUAACACAUGCAAGUCGAACGAAGCACUUUUUUAAGCUUGCUUUUAAAAGUGAUUGAGUGGCGGACGGGCGAGUAACGCGUGGGUAACCUACCUCACACAGGGGGAUAACAGUUAGAAAUGACUGCUAAUACCGCAUAAAAUGGCAGUUUCGCAUGAAACAACCAUCAAAGAUUUAUCGGUGUGAGAUGGACCCGCGUCUGAUUAGCUAGUUGGUAAGGUAACGGCUUACCAAGGCGACGAUCAGUAGCCGACCUGAGAGGGUGACCGGCCACAUUGGGACUGAGACACGGCCCAAACUCCUACGGGAGGCAGCAGUGGGGAAUAUUGGACAAUGGGCGCAAGCCUGAUCCAGCGACGCCGCGUGAGCGAUGAAGUAUUUCGGUAUGUAGAGCUCUAUCAGCAGGGAAGAUAAUGACGGUACCUGACUAAGAAGCACCGGCUAAAUACGUGCCAGCAGCCGCCGUAACAC